rnacentral:rRNA from 1 species
UACGAAGGGGGGCUAGCGUUGCUCGGAAUUACUGGGCGUAAAGGGCGCGUAGGCGGAUAGUUUAGUCAGAGGUAAAAGCCCAGGGCUCAACCUUGGAACUGCCUUUGAUACUGGCUAUCUUGAGUUCGGGAGAGGUGAGUGGAAUGCCGAGUGUAGAGGUGAAAUUCGUAGAUAUUCGGAGGAACACCAGUGGCGAAGGCGGUUACCUGGAGCUUUGCUGACGCUGAUGCGCGAAAGCGUGGGGAGCGAUCCGG